UUUCCUCGUUUUGUUUUGAAGUUUGAUUGUGGAAAUGUGAAACGAUAGCGAUACUUACGUUCCUUUUAUGCUUUCAAGACUUUAAAGUUACUCCAUCGGUCGUCGAAUGUUUCUCUCCAAUGUUUGCGUAGGCUGCAUUAAAUGUUCUUGAACUGCAGACAGCAAAAGUUUCAGGGAAGUUCUUUCCUCAAAUCCUCAAUGAUCCACUCCUCUGUGAAAGCUGGUUUGUUUCGACUGCAAAAGGAUUUUUCACUCCGAUGGGACAUCAUGGGGAAACCGGUGACCUGCAAGCUGUGACGUAUCUACUGCAGUGGUGGGAGGCAGUGACAAAUGGCUUUUCAUCCCCGUUUUAAUCGGGAUCGGUAUGUCAACACUCACAUGGGCAAACAGUUUGUGGGGUGAUAGUGAUGUUCCUGGAAUGAAUCCACCACACAACCAUUUCACGGUAAGUGUUAAAUACUGUCUUUUUCAUCUUAUGUAUCCAUUUCCUCUCCACUGUCCUAUACCUAACUAAGUGUAUAUUAGAGAAACCGUUUUCUCUAAUAUCUAUUGUUCUAUUUUAUCAAUAUCACAUAUUGACAGUGAAACAUAAAUGAUGCGAAUCGCGAUUUGCCAUGCUGCAAACUUCCUGUUAUAGAGCAAUUUCUCAAUAGAAAAAUAUUAGAAGUCAUUUUUUUUAAAACUCCUGGAUUUUUUCUGUGUAAUUUCUAUGAAAUUGUCAAGCAAUAGUGUUUGUUUGUUCUCCUUAGAUAAAAUAAGAGCGAAGAGUUGAGACAUUGCCAAAAGUUACGCCAUUAUGCAAUUUCAUCAAUGAUAUUUCCCUCUGAAAAUUUACUUAUCAAAGACUGUCCAUAAAAUAUUGCUCCAGGGGCUAGGGGGAUCUGAGCCUGUGUUACAGAGGAGGAAGAGAGUCUAAGGUUGCAGUUCAUAGUAAGUUUUUGGGAAUCACUAAAAUGGGAGUUUCUGCUUUUCCCCAACCCCAACGCCAUGUGCCAAAUGUGCCCAGAAUUGGACUUACAUGGGGGGGGGGGGGGUUAAAAAUGGCGCCCGGAAAAGUUUAUGGACCCUGUAGAUUUUUUCAAACUGAGUAAACUGAGUAGUAACAACUGUUUAAAAAAAAGUUUUAAAAAGACAUUUUCUCCAGAAAACAGUUAAAAAUUAUGAUGCAGGAAAUCCUUUUGGCGUAUUUCUAAGUUAAAUUUUACCAGAGAUAAAGUUUAAUCAAAUAAUUUUAAAACUGGUAAAAAAUGGUAUUUUUUCACAAAUCUUUCAUAUAACUUACUCUAAAAAUAUAUCCAAAAAUAGUUUUCUAAGUUUUUUUAAGAGUUUUUUGGAAAGUGCUUUUUUAACGGUCGUUCUCGUUGUUACCAAGUUUUAACAAAAUCGCUUAUACUUACACUAUUAUAUGUAAAGCUUAUACAUUCUACUAAUUGACUAAUUGAUCCAAUCAGUCAGUCAGUGAAAAACUUCAAUUGAUGGAGUUCAAUAUUUAAUUUAAAACUAUGCAGUUUUCCUGGAGUAUUUAUGUGACAUUUGAUUCGUUGAGAUUUCUGCUAUCAAGAGGCAUAGAAUUGUCAAGCGCCCUCUGUCAUAAUCGGAAGAAGCACAUCAGAAUUACGGAAACAUAAUGGAAUUUUGGAUUUUACUGUGUAAAACUUUAUAUCCUGAAGUAAAAUGAUACUGUUACCACUUUGCUUUUUACUGACUCUUUUUCAGGCAGCCUGGCCCAAAGUUUCAUCCGGGAUACAUGUUUGCGCUCAUCAUUGGACCCAUUGUUGCUGCCAUUUUGAUUUUUCUGGAAUGGCCUUAUGACCACAGUCUAGCGUAAUGGGUCCGUAUUGGACUGACAAGUAUGUUUUGCUACGAAAUUUCAUAAUUAUCUUUAGCCCACCUUCCAUACAUUAGCUUAUUGAAUGUAUUAGUAAACUUGCAAAUGCUCCAUUUAAUGUUUUGUUGCAGCUAAUUCUGAUGAAUAAUUCUACCAGCUUAGUGGGCUUUUUCACUAUGCCUCCUCAAAGUACAAAUAUUUAGGUUAAGAACCUUAGUGGAGCAGUGAUUUCACCAACACCCCUCCUAAUCUUAUAUCUCAUGAUGAUGUCCUGUAUUGUAAGGCGACCUCAUGGGACGUAGCCUUUAUUGUCGAUCAUGAUUCUUUUUUCCUUUUUUGCAUUUCUUGGACCUUCGUUUUUUGAAAAUUAGCAUAGCCAGUCGCUUGUUUCGUGAUCACUUUGAAAUUUUGUUGCCUUUCAAGUCCUGUUGAUUCUUCUUUUAACCAAUACUUAAUUUGUAAGUUGUAGCACUCUGUAUAUUGUAUGACAUUCUUCUGACUAUAUCAUGAUGCAUAUUAAUUUAUUGUUUGGCAUUAUGAAAUAGUAGGAAAAAUAAUGAGACCAGAGUUAAUUAUCUCCUAGUUUAAUCUGUAUAGUUAGAGUACAGAGUGGAGUAAUGGCUGGAACUGUACCUACAUUUUUGAAUUGCUUUCCUGCUUCCUUUUGUGGGAAAAUUAAUUUGCCCAAACACAUUGUUCUAUAAAUACUUCCUCAUUCACAACUGAUCAAUGCAUUUUUUUUUCAUUCACCAAUUAAUUUUUGCUUUGCAGUGAUCAUUCACAUAAAUAUUGAGUGAUUCAUCACCACAAAUCACUAAAAUGGAAUCGGCUCUUAUAAACAUGUUUUCAUAUCUUGGAAUUAAAAAAUUCUAAUUUAAUCAUCCUCGUGGUUAAAUUAGCUUUCCUCUAUUGUAAAAUGUACGUUUGAAACAUAGCAGUCAUUUUUUCCAACGAUUGAAUUGUCAAAUCAGCAAUCAAUUUUUCCGUGUAUAUCACCUGUCCUGGUAAUUUUGUUCAGCUAAUUUUGCCAGAAUGCCAAUCAAUAGAAAAUGAGCUGUUCUCUGCUGCAACCACAACCCGUUAGGGAGCUGCUUUUGUUUCGAAGUCGUGGCACCAAUCCCACUACUUUUGGGAACCCUAUGCAUAUUUUUUAGAAAAUCUAGAAAAAAUUCUCCUAAUCCAACUGUUAACUAAUCGAGAAUGUAUUUUAAUGUCCACAUUAAUUAUGUAACGGUGAGAUUUGCAGAUUUUAAUGAUUAUUUUGCACUCUGAAUGAAGUCGUUUUGAAAUGAUAAUUUAUGAUAAAAUUAAUUCCAUUCAUUAUUCAAUAGAAAAUAAUUAAUGCCAUAUACAAAAUCACAUGGUUAGCAUACUGCAUAAGAAACAAGUAAGCAACAGUACCAAGAAAGAGAAAUCUUUUUUGCUAGUUUUCACUAAGUUCCUGUCAAUUAAGAUGAGGUGUUAUAUCAAGCCCAUGAUAUCAAAAAUAUACCACUAGUCUUUAUUUCUUGUUGAUUUCCUUUGUUGGGAAUCAAUAUGAGUUUAAACUAAUUUUUCUCCUUUUUUCCUUUUCUAUGUUGCCAUUUUUAUGAAAUGUUUUUGAAUUGUCCAAGUAUUUUUAAGUAGCUACUCCGAGUGUUCUUAUGUAGAAGACAUUAUCAGGGACUUUUGCAGCCUAAUUACGGACAAAGAUAUUUUGCAUAGACUUCUCUUAGCUCUGCAAGUUCAAUUUUGAUGUAAAAAUGAAUCAAUUUCUCAUCUUUCAACAUAUUUGUUUAUUAAUGAAACUUUUCGUAGAUAGCAAUACUAGCAUCCAGUAAUGUAAAAACUGUAAAGCUAUUGUAUAAAAUCUGAACGAACUUUGUACCAUAUGUUUAGAAGCCACAAGAAAAAAAUCAUCAUUGAUUUCGUUAUAAUUGGUCAUGUCAUGGUUUGAUUGCUUUCGUGAUCUACUGUACAUCUUAAACAUCACUUAUCAAUGCAGAGAAUUUAAUUUUUCUCACUAGUAAAUAAUCGUAACUCCCCGUUUGUCAUUUUUGUCUCACUUUUGUCAAAUCUCUUUGAUAUAUUGUCCUUUUUAAAUUCAACCUGAGUUUUAUCAAGGUCUGGAUUUUUGUGGAAAUCUGUUACCCCCUCUCAUUUUUCCCUAUAAUGUAAAAGCAUUCCUUGUUCCUAUUUUUAUGGUUUUUAAAAUAGUUUUUGUGAUUCACUUGUGUUUCUGUCUAUCUCUGUUC
rnacentral:lncRNA from 1 species